CUCGCAUGGUGACCGAGCUGCCAUGGGCCUCUGUGUCCCGUUCCUCAUCCUCCUCACCUUCAGACAGGAGGUCAGAGAUCUGCUGCUGCAGCUCAGGGCUGAUGGCGUUCUCAGCCAGCACCAGCACACGCAGGCAUGUCGGGAUCUGAUGGUGCAGAUGGAACACAGACUAGUAGAUAUGGGAUUAUGGGACUGGUGAAGAGAGAGUGAGAGCGGUGAUGAGAGCCUCUCCUGUGAUCUGAAUGGAACCAGGCAGCAUGUUGGUGGAGCUGGAAGUCACGGUCGAGUCAACACCAUGUCCGGUACCGGUGACUGAGGUAAGGCAGGUUUAACUCCGAGAUCCAG